GACAGAGGCCUCAAGCGUUAGGCGGAAUCACUGGGCUUAAAGCGUGCGUAGGCGGAUUGUUAAGUGCAAUGCGAAAUCCUGUGGCUCAACCAUAUGGACUGUAUUGCAUACUGGCAAUCUGGAGGACAUGAGAGGCAAGUGGAAUUACCGGUGUAGCAGUGAAAUGCUUAGAUAUCAUCAAGAACAUCUAUUGCGAAGGCAGCUUGCUAAGCUGAUACUGACGCUGAGGCACGAAAGCGUGGGGAUCGAACAGG
rnacentral:rRNA from 1 species